AGCCUUAAGAAUUAUUUAAGGUCUAGCCUGCCCAAUGUUUACAAUGAAUGGCCGCAGUACCUUAACUGUGCGAAGGUAGCAUAAUCAGUUGGCUUUUAAAUGGAGUCUUGUAUGAAAGGAGUGACGUGGUAAAACUGUCUCGACUUUGUUUUAUUUAAUUUACUUAGAAGGUGAAAAAUCCUUCGACUAGAAAAAAGACGAGAAGACCCUUAGAGUUUUAAUGAAAGUUUAUAGUAUAAACCGAAUUUUUGUUGGGGCGACAAGGAAACAAGUAACUUUCCUGUUUACUGGACGGUGUUUCAAGCAAGAUUAAACUACCUGAGGGAUAACAGCAUAAUUCUUUUGAGUUUGUGACCUCGAUGUUGGACUAGGAACUUACCAGACUAGCCGUCUGCUUUUGUGGCUCUGUUCGAGCCUCGUCUCCU
rnacentral:rRNA from 1 species